GCUAUCCUUAACUGGCCAACGAGACUCAGAUGCCAGCUAUUAUCCUACGGCAGCUAUGUGUGGCAUUAGCUGUGGGUCUUUUUUGCUGCUGAUCUAAUUUUCACAGUAGCAGUUGGGGCUUGGGAGUCAGAAAUGCUGUAGUCACUUCUCUUGCUAAACAUUUCGAUUCACUCACUGGAGGCGUGUGGAGGGUUGUUCGGAGCUGCUUUGACACCAAAGGUUUUAUUUCCAGAGACUGUCACACGGUGAUACAAACUGCCAGGGGAAUUUAAGCACAGAUGAUUAAUGCAUAGUAAGGUAACCCUUGGACUAGCAGAGCUGCUGUUCCUGUGGAAAGAGUGCCUUGUAAUAGCUCUUUUAUAUAAGAGCAGUGAGACGUUCUGGCCUGGGAAGUGCCAUGGUUUGAGUUCAAUAUUUUCCUUAAAAAUGCGGAAAGUGAGGUGGGCACUGGAGGCAAAAUGCAGAACAACCCACCAUGGACCAGAUUGAGCAGACCCACAGAGGUGAGGCUGCAGGCAGGUGGUCUGCUUUGCCUAUGCAUAGAUCUGGUCCAGCAAAGAAAAUAUUCUCCAUAGACAUCGGCCUGUUGGCCUGCUUCUGCCUUUUGGAAGGUAAAGAGGGGAGCUUCAUUUAAAGAGGCUGUAAGAACAUGGAAACUGCUCUAUCGUGUAGAGAGGGGAAGAGCUGAAUUCAGGUGAAAAAGAAUUAUUUCAGUCUUCCCUGGGAUGGGUAGAUCCAGGAAAUUUGUCUCAUGAGGAUUAGAAGUGCUGCCAUCUGCAAUACAGACAUUUCUAUCAGCGGAUAUGACCAGGAAAACCUACUGUUUCUUUCACGUACCUGUGAGUUUCAUGACAGGGCUGGAUCUUCAGGGGGGACGCCUGAGCAGGGCAGGGAUCCCAUAAAGCUCUAGCAAGGACCACAGCGGUGAGGAAGGACACGCUGCACCACCGCGUACAUCGUGCCCUGCAAGGGAACCCGCAUGCCAGCCAGGAACCUACUGAAGACUACUUUGAAGUUAAGUCCUGUGGGUUUUUUUGUCCUUCUUUCAUGUCUCAGGAUGAUCUCAAUCCUAAGGUGAUUCUCAGUGGGAAUGAAAAUUUUAUUUACAAAAAUUCCUUGCAAAAAAGUGCCAAUUAAGUGCCAGCAAUUUCUGUAAUGCUCACUACAAUCACGGCACUGAUUAAAACCAAGAACUACCCCUGUAGAUACAUGGAGAAAAUCAUUCCUGGCCUCUCACAAAUUGCAAUUUAGUGAGCUGGCAAAAUACCAAGUGCCCAGCUCAUACCCGGCCAAUAAAAGCACCGGAACACUUUUCCAUGUAUUUCUCUGCUCAGGCUUUGUGUUAAUGGAACAGGACAUUCCAAUAACCUUUUAAAAGGUUAGACUAAUUCAGUUGUUUGGGUUUGCGAGAGCCAAGCUGUGUUAGUCCAGUUGUUGGGUAAUAAGCCGAGGGAGGCAGGGCAAUGUUUUAAGGUGUUUUCAUGAAAUAGUUGGUAUAAAAGAACAGGUGAGCUGACCAGUGGGGAAUUUGACUUGCUAACGGGACCAAGGGGACAGGCAGCUGCAAGGUUUUUGUCUCUCCUCAGCAUCACCAGUCCCUGAGCCUGGCCGCACCUGCGCAGCACUGGUACUAUCAUCCUGGGAUGAGAGGGAUGCAUGGGGAUGAAUAAUUCAGCUGCAAAUCAGCUCUCCAACUGCACAGCUUUUUCUUUUCUUUCUUUUUUUUUUUUUCCCUGCGUUUCUAUUUUUAAUUUAGAUACUCCCACAUGUGUUUUUGGUAGAUUAGAGACAUGAGAAAUCAGAGAAGAAGGCUGAUGCAGACAGGUAACGGAGCCUGGGGGUGGUGGAGGUUGGACCGACGCUGGCCUGGAGCAGGGCUGGGGCAGCCCUCCUGCCAAGGGCAGCACGGGGCUGCUGGCACGGUCCUGCGAGGGGACGAGCACCCCACGUCCUUUUUACUUCAGUGGGAGGUGAAAGUGCUCAGCAUCACUUGGAUUUAGAUCCCUAUGUCAGCAGUUAGAAAGAAGCAGUGGUCAGUGGAGGUGCUCUACCACGGGAUGGACUUCAGGGAAACUGUGUUCAGUUUUGAGGUCUGCUCUGCAUCUCUUCUAUGCAAAUCUUGUAAAUCCUCUGUCUUGUAGUUCCAAAUUUGUUUUUGAGAAAACCACUACCGCUGCUUCUUUUGGUCUUCCUUGUCUAGCUGUAAUCUCUAGGGAAGAAACCAUCACUGCUUGUUUAUAGCUAUAGAUUAUUCAUGGGGGAGCCUCUUAUGCUGCAUGGUAGCAUCUUCCUAUGACAUGUUUUAAUCAUGAAGAUCAAAAAGAGACAGUCGGCAGAAAGGUUUCAGAGAAUAAAAGUUUUCAGUGCUGCAGCUUAGUGAGGUGGUGAGGGACUACAGGAAACAAUGGGGAGGAAAAGCUGCCAAUUUGGGCAAAAGCAAAAUUAUCAUUCCAUGUUCGUCUUUGUGGAACUGAGAUUUCCAGAAGAGACUGGCUGGCAUUUUCAGUUGUACACUAGUUCCUGAAGAUUAUAAAACCAAAGAUCAAAGCAUAAGGGAAAUGCUGUCAUGGCUGAGAAUCUUUUUCUUUUGCUGCGUAUACAGAAUUUUCCAAUAAAUUACUGCAGAUGAGUCCUAAUACUGGUAAUAACUGUUUUUACAAAGUCUAGACUGCUCUUGCAAAUUCGUGGCUGGAAAAGGUAUUGGUGUGUUGCUGUGGACUCAAGGAAAGCCUUGAAAUAGAGAGUAGUUUGCUCUCUUCUUGUCAAGUCUCAGUUCUAAGUCAUGGGAUAUGGGGAGUGUCUUAAAAAUGAGGUAAAAGGGAAGCAAGUAUUUGAAACCCAAAAGUGGAGGAUCUAAUGUGAGAUCAUCCAGAAGUCUACUGCCAUGGCAGUGGAAAGCAUCUAGAUUUCCUGAGGCACUGUGUCCUGUGCUACACUUCCUCAGCAUCUAAAUAAAAGGCUAUAUGUAAAAAACAAACAACAAACACUAUUUCUUGAUCUUUGUGAACAAGAAAAACAGAAAACCCUGGAUUAACUGCUAAACUCAUUGCUAAACUGCUUGAUUUCAGGUAAGGAAAGCCUGCUGCUGCUCCCACAUUUUAGGGAGAAAGAAGGGAAACAGAAAGGAAAUCUGUAAUGAUGAGGAAGCCAACAUCCUUCACAACUGAAAUUUCAGGACUAAUUGCUCACAAAGCUUGAUGAUCAGUUUUAACUCCAUGAUAUUCAGGAACAAGAAGCACCAUUACUCUCAGUUCAGUAGGUAGGUCACUAAUCAACCAGCUAAAUGUCCAAAAACCUCCAUUUAUCAGGUACCUUUGGCUUCCUUACUUCGAAGAAACGGAGUGCCAACAGGUGCAUGCCACAGGGUGGCUUCUCACAGCAACAUUUUACAAAGAGUAGCUGCAAUCUUAAAAUACAAAACAACCUGCCAGACAUACAAAGGUUUCUCUUUCCUUCCUAAAACAUGAAUUUUAUCUCCAAAUACUACACUUGCCUGCAGCCCCCAAACAGCAAGUUUACAGAAGUGAAGCGGAGUCUGGCUUGAGAUAGGGAAUCCUUGGAGGCACUAAAGCAGGAAUGGAUUGCUUUAUAUCAUUAGAAAGCCAAGGCUGUCUACUUUCCUAAGGGAUAUAAAGCAUUCAGUGUGCAUCUGGUAUUUCAGAAGAUACUGAGCCACAGCACUGCCCCAGAAUAAUCUUUUGCAUAUGCAUUGCAGGCCAUUUUAGAGCUUCUAAACUUUUAUCAAAAAUUGAAUUAAUUUUCUUCUCUCUAAUGGCAUGUCUAAAGGCAUGUUGGAGACAUCCUACACACCUUUUUACCCACCUGUUUCUCCAUCACUCCCUUCAUAUUUAAAGAAAGACAGGCACUAAAAAUCCUGGACAGUCCUUAAGAAAUCUUCUGAGUAUCCCAUUAGUGUAAAAGCAGUGCUAAUGUGCACUGGGGAUUCUAGGUGUCAAGCUACCUUCUACUUUUAAUUCAUUCAGUGGGAUUCUAUACAUUAAAGAGUAGAAAACAACAUUAAAAUUAAACAAAAAUUAAGAAUUAACUAAGGUAACAAUAUAAGUACUGGACUUGCAAAAAACAUCAAAACUAAACAUUAUGCACACUCCCUAGACUUAGGAAUGUUAGGAAAUACUAUGGCCAAAAUAAAUAAAAGAACACCUUUAGAAGUAAGAAGACUCAAAAGUAGGAAUCUGCUUGUAUGGGCUGUAUAUACAGAGUACCCAAAUGAUAUCUUGGCAUUUUGUUCUCUUCAUGCAAACAUUUUUUUUACAAGUUCAGGCUGAAACAAAAGAAGCUUGAUUUGACUACUGAAGCAACCCUGAACUCCCCACAUGGGACACAAAGACAAGAAACCUUGACAGGUCACCUCAGCAUCACUGUGGGUCUGCAUAGCUAGAAGCAAAACUUGCCUUGAAUUCCAGAAUAUAAUUUGGCAUUGUUGAGUUUAUUUAUGGCAACAGAAUCUAAAAUGAGCCUUACUCUCCAAAGAGACACCCUCAACUGUUAAAAAAUUGCAGUCAGGUAAAUAGCCUUUCAUUGGGGAAAUACAACUACUUAACAUUUAAACUAUAUUUUCUUUUUUUAUACAUAUAGCAUAAAAAUAUUGAUCAUCUAUUUAACAGCAAUAUACUCCAUUUUCCUAUAUAGUUUUUGUGACAUCUGUAUUUUUUCUGACGUUCUUUAUUUCCAGCUACAAGGAGAAAAUGAGUGGCAGGUUUUAUAGCAUCAAAUCCUGAAAAUGCUCAGUUAAUUGGUAUUUAGGAAUUGCAAUCCAGAGCAGUUAAUCCUUUCAUUAGUUUUCUUAUCAUUGGGAAGCACAAAAAUUUCUGUCUAGUACCAAUGGAUUUGAAUUUUAUAUGUAAGAUUGCUAACAACCAUGAUCAUUCUAUGGAGUGGACUUAAUAUCUCCAUAGUCUACAUGGCAUUAAAAUAUAUCUGUUUGAUAAUAACACCAAUAAGGUAAUAAAAAUGGCAAAAUAAAUAAAUAAAAAGGACUAAAGUUAAAUCAUAGAUGAUCAUUAGGAAAGACUGUCAGACUUCAAACAGCAUCCACAAUACUUAUACCAACCCUUUUUUGUUUCCUUUGCAAAAUAAAUUAAAUUAAAAAUUCCUUUAACAGGACUCAGAGCUCCAAACAGUGCUAAUGAAAAAUAAGGUAUCAUGAGACUGAAGAGGAUCAUAAUAGCAUCAUAACUUUUCCAGCUGUAAUAUCUGCAAUAUUCUAAAGUGGUACAAUAUUCUCUUUGCUGGACUGUGAGAUUGGGAGCUGUCAUCCUCUCUCCCCUACGUACACCAUCCCUGACAAAAUGGUUUGCUGGGUUCAGUAUCUAAGUGUUCUUGUGCUCGUCCUGCUUGGGCUCUCCCGGCUAAAUCGUCUUCACAAUCCCCAGACCUGGGAUCCCUGUGGCUUUCAAGCUUCAGGCGUUGGAGCAGUUGCAGACUACACCGCUGAUCCAAACCCCUUCUGGGACCUGGGGCUCCGAGACCAGCAUUUGUUUCCCCAUUCUGCUUUGUGAUUGGGCUGAGUCUGACUUCUGGCAGCUGGCUAUUAGCAACUUCACUCCUCCUAGCACUUUCUCAUUUUUCAUCUCUUGUUUUUAUUGAUGAUGGAGUCCUUAUUGUGUGAGUGAAGUGUGGCGCACAGACUUGCACAAAGCAUCACACCAUUUGUCAUGAAAUACGAGGCUGUUUUUAUGCACUGCUGGCUUUUCUGCAGACUCUCCUCCCCACACAGGCAUGACGGGAAGCAGCAGACUGGUAAAGGAUCACACAACAAUAAUUUUAAAAUGCAGAGAUGUCCUGCAGCCAUCUUUACAACAGCCCACAUGCCCAGAGGACACAGCUGAACCAAGUGUUCACAAAAGCUAUCCUCAUGAGAGACUUGCUCUGUUCUUUGGUUACUCUGCAUUGCCACUGGAUGAGCCUUGCCUCUUAGCGAAAAGCUUUCCUCAGCUAAAACAGGUCCUAGCAAAAACUGCCCCUAAUCCCAUGCCCAGGGUGUGCUCCAGAGGGCCCUGGGUGGGGUUCCUCCCAAGUACAGCUCCUCACGGGCCCAGGGAGAAAGUGACCCACCCAAUUUGGCUACCUGAGCUAUAAAAUGGGCAAAGUGUGCUGCCACAACCAGUGCUAACUCCCUGUCCAUGACCAUUGUUCCUGUGCUUAGGACAUUUUUGCAUGAAUUAAUUGUUUUUUUAAGUCUAUGAGGAAUGAAUCAAAGUGUAUACCUUGCUGAAACUGCAUAUCGUUUGUUUGAAUCUGCUUUUUGGGACAGGAAGGCAUGGAAUAUCCUCUCCUUCCCAUCUCUAGCAGGUCAUUUCACUAUGAGGGAAGAAUGCUGAAUGAGCUUAUCCCGUAUAUCUGGUAUACCUGCAAGCCACACAAAGCAGUUUUGAUGAAAAACGUGCAAAAGAACCUCCCCCUCUGCCAGAAGUUACGUUUUCUUUUUUAUUGAAGUAUAAUGAUAUUUGGGGGGUGGGGUAGACGUAAAUGAUUUAGAGAAGUGUUAGCUUUGAGUUACACCUGUCAGACCUUCAGCUUCCCCACUGUACUGUAGGAUUUAUAGCACAGCUGUAUCUGCCUUGCUUUGUGACUCAAAGUUAAUGUCUAAAGAGCAAUGCUCCCAUCUUAAACGUUACUUCAGAAGGUAAUUCAGAUUUUCUUCAGGAAAUAAGGACUUGAGUGACUAAUUACAGUACUUCAGGGGGCCAGAUCCUGGCUUUCCACAGAGAUCACGUCACAUCACCUUUCCUGUUAACGGGUUGAAUUUUGUCCUAAAAGUUCCCAGAGUUAUUGGAAGAGGGAGGUUUCCUCUCUAGGGGAAACUUGUUACAUGACCUCUUUGCUGCAAUACUGAGAACCUCGUGUUGCUUUCCAGCCUAACUGUAAUACGUCUAUUUUUUUUCCCCCUUAUUAUUAUUCUUUUCCUUAAAUAGCUCUUUGUUCCUGGUAUGAACCCAACCAACAUAGUCUUAGAAAGAAAUCAGUAUCCUACCAUAGCGCUUUUUAUAUAUAUAUAUAUAUAUAUAUAUAUCUCUAAGCAGCGCUUUAUGUCACCUCUCAUAUGACACGCUUCGUGAUACCUCUCUGCACUUGUUGCAGAUGAACUCCUAUUUCUUACAGGUGACAGGACUUGUAUGCUGUGCUGCAGAAAUGCAUUCAUCCGUGCUUUCCAUAAUGAAACUUUUUCUUUCUGCUGGAAAUACCUUGUCUGAAGUAUGCUAUGAGCACGCACACCUAUGUGACAGCUUCAUCCCAUGGUCAAUGCAUAGUCAUCCGGUGAUCACCUGCGACACUCAGAAUUCUCUCUGCCUGAGCCAUCUCUCUUCUCACUUAGAGAAGAAAUUCCUCAUUAACCCUGAAGUGCACACCCUUACACACUGUUCUAAUCAAACAUUUCUUCCCAUUUAUGAACCUGUCAAAGUUAAAAAGGUUUUAAUAUAUGAUGGUUGCCUUCUGUAUUAGCAGUGUCCCUUCAUCUUCUCAUUUCAAUAGCACACCUACUUCAUAUGCCAAUGUAGUUAAUGGAAACAUUACCAGCGCUGGUCCUAAAAUUGACCCUUGGGGAACACUUGCAGUAACUUGCUUCUUGGCUCUUCUCUUUUCUUCCUUUUCCUCUGCCCUUUUCCAUCAAUCAGUUCUUCCCCACCUUUCAUGCAUGUUCUCCGUUAAUCUCAAUCUUUUGCUUCAUUAAUAUUUUCCCAUUUAGGAGUGUAUCAAGUGCUUUACUAAGGUCCAAAGGAAAUUUACCACAUAUUCUAUUUUGGAAAAUCCAUUAUCUCAUUUAAGGAAAGCUAUCAGGUUAUUCUGACACCGCAUUCCUCUGGUAAAUCCAGGCUCCUUUCAUCUCGUUUUCUGUUUAACUAGAAAGGAUAAUUCAAUCAUUCUUUCUCCUUUGGUAAUUAUGUUGUAUGUAGAAAUACAGAAGAAAAAGAAAAGAGGUGAAUCACAUUUAAGUCCAUGUGGAGCAUAUUUACAUCAAUAUACAUUACAUAUAAAGUCCACAUAUAUGUGUGUGUGCAUAUGUUCGUUAUUUUUAUAUAUGCAGACAACAUAGACACAUACAUGUAU